GCCUAUGUGGUGUAAUGGUCAGCACUCUCGGCACGUAUUCGAGAGGUCCGUGGUUCGAGUCCCGGCGAGGACA
rfam:Stegodyphus mimosarum contig124622, whole genome shotgun sequence.